ACCUUUAUAAGGGGUGGAUGUGCUAAGAUGUCCUGCUUUCUCUUGCAGUGGACAGACUUUUCAUCUUCCGUCUCUGGUCCUAAGAACAACUCCCAGGGAGCAGGUGGUGGAGGGCCAGAGUGGCUGAGGCCCUCCAGCUCCUCAGUGUGCUCUUCUAGUGUCUAUAUUUGUUGUGUGACUCCUGCAGAGCCAUGUAACGACAAAUAGAGGAAGCCAAACCU
rnacentral:lncRNA from 1 species